GGGCGUGUAGCUCAGCGGGAGAGCACUACGUUGACAUCGUAGGGGUCACAGGUUCAAUCCCUGUCAUGCCCACCA
rnacentral:tRNA from 1 species